rnacentral:rRNA from 1 species
ACAGCUCAAAUUUGAAAUCUGGCUCUUUCAGGGUCCGAGUUGUAAUUUGUAGAAGAUGCUUCGGGUGUGGCUCCGGUCUAAGUUCCUUGGAACAGGACGUCAUAGAGGGUGAGAAUCCCGUAUGUGACUGGUUGCCUUCGCCCAUGUGAAGCUCUUUCGACGAGUCGAGUUGUUUGGGAAUGCAGCUCUAAAUGGGUGGUAAAUUUCAUCUAAAGCUAAAUAUUGGCCAGAGACCGAUA